rnacentral:rRNA from 1 species
AUGGAAGCAGGACGAAGAGAAAUAACACGAUAUGCACGUCGUGGUGGAAAAAUAUGGGUACGUAUAUUUCCCAACAAACCGGUUACACUAAGACCCACGGAAACACGUAUGGGCUCGGGAAAGGGGUCUCCCGAAUAUUGGGUAUCCGUUGUUAAACCUGGUCGUAUACUUUAUGAAAUGGGGGGAGUAUCUGAAACUGCAGCUAGAGCAGCUAUCUCCAUAGCUGCCAGUAAAAUGCCCAUACGAAGUCAAUUUAUUCGAUUAGAGAUAUAG